CGCAGCUUGCCCAAAAGGAAUCCAGUCGGGCAUCAUGUUCACAAUGUGAAGAGUGAAACUUGGGGCGCCGGACAAGUGUCCGAGCGUGUGGCCUGGCGCUGUUUUCCAAAGAUCCUGGUUUCUCCAGUCGUGGAGGAUUUCUCCCCCACGGGGACUGUCUUGCACAUGAUGGGAGACAGCAAUUGUGUGUGACCAACAGUGAGAACACAGGGUUUAAGACCUCCCAGACUCGGGUCGCAACCCUGCAUUUCGAACUUGUUUGCCCUCUUGCCAACACGGAACACGCUGCCUCUGUUCCGGCCACACUGCUCCAAGGCUUACGCUGUCUUGUCUGUGCCCCUACGUGCACGUGUUUUCUCAUAUCCCCUCAAACAAAUUUCUGUUUAUUAAAAUGUUACCCACUAC